UAAAAGUACAUCUCACAAAUUGUUAAAGUCCUGAAAUGUCUUUUUUGGGUUCCUGGAGUGAUUCCCAAGUGGCACCUACAACUUCACCUGUCUUGACUUUUUCUGGUCUUUUUCUCCUGAUUUUGUAUUUUCACUUUUGUUUCUUUACUUGACCAAGUUUGGCUCUGGGUAUGAUUUAUCUGUGGCUGAUGUGGUAUUCCCCAUAGACGGCAACAAUGAUUGAGAAUCUGGUUUUGUCAUCUGUCCAUUUGGUGAUCUCUUGGAUAACAAGAAUCUAGUCUCUCUAAGACCAGCCCCAUACAAUGGUACUUUGUGCAAGAGCUCUCUGCAUGGGCCGGCCGGGCCCCCUUCCCUCCGCCUGCCAACGGGAGGAGACGCGAGGCGCUGGGAGCUCCAGAGUGGGCGAGGACUUCGGGCAGACCCGGCGUUGCUGUUGGACAUCAUUCAGAAGUCCCCGCUCAGCGGGGGCAGCCCGAAGAGCAAAACAAACAGAGCGAGGAGUAGUGGAAAAUGCUGAGUCCUGGAGCUGGCCGGAACGGCCUUCGCCUUUCCACGCCCAAAGCCAGCCGCUCUGCCCACCUGCAGCUGCAAUAGCAAGCAGGGCCGCAGCAGGCAGGGAGGCCUUGGCACCAGAGCCCGUCCAGGGCUGGGAAGGCGGGGAACAGACACUCCUCUCUCUUCAGACAGGCCCUCCAGAGUCCUCACCCUGAAGGCUGAGGUCUUUUUCUUGUUCCAGGAGUCCAGUGAAAAAAUAGUUCUCAAAAACGGAGAAAAAGACUUUCUUGAACUGCAGUUUCAGAUUUACUAAUAGAGUCCAUUUACAUAGCACUUACUAAAUGUCAAGCACCAACACAGAUGAAUUGGCAAUCACCAUGUCAGUCCUGCAAGACCCCCAUCACUGCAGCUUCAACUGU
rnacentral:lncRNA from 1 species